GCUGGGUGUGGUGGUGCGCACCUGUAAUCCCAGGUACUUGGGAGGCUGAGGCAGGAGAAUCACUUGAACCCGGGAGGUGGAGGCUGCAGUGAGCUGAAAUUGUGCCACUGUACUCCAGCCUGGCAACANNNNNNNNNNUUUUUUUUGAGAUGGAGUCUUGCUCUGUUGCCCAGGCUGGAGUGCAGUGGAGCAAUCUUGGCUCACUGCAACUUCCAUCUCCUGAGUUCAAGGGAUUCUCCUGCCUCUG
rnacentral:SRP_RNA from 1 species